rnacentral:rRNA from 1 species
AUUGAACGCUGGCGGCAUGCCUUACACAUGCAAGUCGAACGGUAACAGGUCUUCGGAUGCUGACGAGUGGCGAACGGGUGAGUAAUACAUCGGAACGUGCCUAGUAGUGGGGGAUAACUACUCGAAAGAGUGGCUAAUACCGCAUGAGAUCUACGGAUGAAAGCAGGGGAUCGCAAGACCUUGUGCUACUAGAGCGGCCGAUGGCAGAUUAGGUAGUUGGUGGGAUAAAAGCUUACCAAGCCGACGAUCUGUAGCUGGUCUGAGAGGACGAUCAGCCACACUGGGACUGAGACACGGCCCAGACUCCUACGGGAGGCAGCAGUGGGGAAUUUUGGACAAUGGGCGCAAGCCUGAUCCAGCAAUGCCGCGUGCAGGAAGAAGGCCUUCGGGUUGUAAACUGCUUUUGUACGGAACGAAACGGCUCUGGUUAAUACCUGGGGCUAAUGACGGUACCGUAAGAAUAAGCACCGGCUAACUGCGUGCCAGCAGCCGCGGUAACAC